UAUUGUCUUUGUAGUGCAGGAUGAACAGCAAGACCCUGACAAGCAAUAGGGUGUCUUCAGCCAAUGAAGAUGGUAAGAUGGAUAGACAGAAGUGUGCUUUUCUAGUUGUUUUUUCUUUUUUUUUGUCUUUCCCAUCAUGUUAAAAAAAUUUUCAUCUCUCUCCAAAAAUCCCAAUCCAUCCCCAAAUAAAACAAGGGCCUGCAGAGAGUCAGCUUCCUGGCUAGAGUGCAAGGUACAUGCUGUAGCCAUUGGACAAAAUGAAGCCAACUGGGUAACAGAAUAGAAACCAUGACCCUGGCUCUUUAUCAAUGAAAUAACCAGGCACAGACAUCACAGGUUUUCUCUUUGCCAGUUCAAAAUGCCAAAAAGGGAUGCAGGGGAAGAAUUAAUUAAGAUUCUCUCUGAUGUAGCUUCUAUACUCCCUGCCCGUACUGUGUGUUUGCUUUUUGAGUAUGGGAUUUGAUUCUGAAAUACACCAUACUUGGCAAUUUUCUUUAAAGCUUAAACUCUUAGAACUAAGUCUCAGGAUUUUCGAUGGCCAUGGGCAAAUGUUUUUGUUUUUGUUUUUUUUUUGUGGAUACUGUUUGAUGAAUGUGCCCAAUUGACGCUUAUGCGCACAAUUUCCAGAAGGAACAUCCUGAACUUUUCUAACUAAACACAAGGCUAAUGAAUUAUGUGUGGGAAGCUCUCUCUACCUCUCUCUCUCUUUUUUUAAGUAUGUAGCAGUCAUGGAAGUUGAGCCAUCUUUCCAUGAAUGCAUGAUUGCAAAUGUCUUUCUUAGUAUUUAACUAUAGGAUAAGAAAAUGGCCUAAAACCUAGGCCCUAGAGAUGAGCCUAGUAGGCUAGGUUCCCCAACUGUGAGAGAGUAUUCAGGAUGUUCUUGCUACCCAACAGUAUAUUCCGUGGAGAUAAAUCUAGGAAACUCCGAUAUGACUUCCAGGCUGCCAUACUCAAGACCUCCAGCCCCUUUGCCACUUGGACCAGUGAAGAGCCUCACAGCCUGCUCUAACCACAGCUCCCUUCUGAGAGGAAAAGCUGCUCACAGAAAACAUCUCUUUGAAGCUGGCACUACUGAUGAAAACUAAAGCAAUGGAUGGAGAAAAGAGGAGGAAUAAAGACAAUUUGGGCUGAUGUUCUUCAGAAAAGGAAAGGGUGGUCACCUUGUCAAUGGAUUUGUUGAGCACCCAUUAUGUGUGGGAAUGGAUGAUUAAAAGCUACAGAAAUCUCUGUCUUGAGGUCAUGUAUAGUCUAUUGAGGGAACAAGGCAUAUAUACCAAAAUGACUUAAAUAGCAAAGUAAGAGUAACAUAAUAACUAUCAGCAGCCACUGAGCAUUAUAUAGACAUUGCUUAUUUAAUACUUACCAAAUCAGCCCAUGAAGUAGAUGGGUUUGUUAAAAUGUAUUUGCUGACUGGCAACAGAAAAGCCUACACACACACACACACACACACACACACAUACACAUAUACUGGCUUAAACAAGUAAGGAGGUUAUUUAUAUCAUGCUACAAAAAACCUAGAGUUUGUUACCCUGGUUAAGGCCACCAGGGACACAGCCUCCUCUAUAUUUCUGCUCUACAGUCCUUAGCUCCACAGUCAUAGUUGCUGCCCUUUCAAGCAUCACAUCUGUGUGUAAAGCAGGCUGAAGGAUGGAGUAAUGGGCGUGGGGCACUUAUAGAAGAAAAGCAAUGCUUUCCCAGAAAUUCAAGCAUGCUUCCUCUUAUAUACUAUUACGCAGAACAAUGUCAGUAGGCUGCCACCAGCUUUAAGGAAGCCAGUUGCUUGAGCAUUUUAGCUGAGCACAUUGUUACCCUGAACAAAACUGGGGCUCUAGAAGAAGGAAAAAUGAGGGGAGAACUUACAUUGGGUAUAUACACAGCAGUGUCUGCCACGGUGGGUUGACUAUGCCAUCUUACAGAUAAGAAACUGAGGCUCAAAGAAGUUAAAUGGUUUGCUCAAUUUAUCGUACAACUGGCAAAUAGCAGAGCCAGGGUUAAAACCCAGAUGUGAGUGAAUCCAAAGUUUUUACUCUUAAUUCCCAUUCAUUACUGUCAUGUGGCACUUCAAAUGAAUGAUAUAAAUAACUUGAUGGUAAAUGCAGGGUGAGAGUAGAUCAAUACGAUUUUGGUAGGUAGAAAAUAGGGAGUAGAAUCAUUCAGAGAGAAAGAUUUUCCCUACUGUUGGAGGCCUUUGGGGGACAGGAAAAUGUCCAAAUUGAUUAUCAGAGAGUUAUUGUUAGGAGAGAAUGGGAGGAAAGCUCAGAAAGAAGUGCUGAGACACCAGGCUUCCGUGAUAGCUCCCAAGUAACAAGUCCAAAAUGGAAUUUCUGAUUUCUCUGUUCCCGAAUCCAUUUUAUUCUCCAUCUUUUCCCAUCUCAGUAAAAUGCACAUUUAUAUGCCCAGCUGGUUAAGCAGAAAAUCUGAGGGUUGACAUUUAUCCCUCCGUUGUCCUCACUCUCACAUCUGCAAGUCCUGAAGUAUUUAC
ensembl:lncRNA